GACGAACGCUGGCGGCGUGCUUAACACAUGCAAGUCGAACGGAAAGGCCCUGCUUUUGUGGGGGGCUCGAGUGGCGAAAGGGUGAGUAACACGUGAGUAACCUGCCCUUGACUUUGGGAUAACUUCAGGAAACUGGGGCUAAUACCGGAUAGGAGCUCCUGCUGCAUGGUGGGGGUUGGAAAGUUUCGGCGGUUGGGGAUGGACUCGCGGCUUAUCAGCUUGUUGGUGGGGUAGUGGCUUACCAAGGCUUUGACGGGUAGCCGGCCUGAGAGGGUGACCGGCCACAUUGGGACUGAGAUACGGCCCAGACUCCUACGGGAGGCAGCAGUGGGGAAUAUUGCACAAUGGGCGGAAGCCUGAUGCAGCAACGCCGCGUGCGGGAUGACGGCCUUCGGGUUGUAAACCGCUUUCGCAUGUGACGAAGCGUGAGUGACGGUAAUGGGUAAAGAAGCACCGGCUAACUACGUG
rnacentral:rRNA from 1 species